rnacentral:lncRNA from 1 species
UUUAUGAUCAAGCCACAUUAAUUUAUUUGUCAUGAUAAAAUACAUGAAAUUCACUUCUGAUACUAUGGAUAGAAAGAUAAUUUGUAUUCUACCAUUUUCCUCUUAAGCUCAUAUAAACCUCUUGUCAUAAAAAUCUCAAACUGCUCUUAAUUUCUUUAAGAAAACACUAGAUUAAGGUAACACCACCAGGGUGUCAGUCCACCAGAUCUGUCUGAACUGCUGUCUCUAACACCGGCGGCAUCUACACUUACUACAUGUAUGUAUCUUACUAAGUUUUUGUGUGUUUCUGACUCUUCUCCUUUUCUCUCUUUUAAAUAAAAUACUUUUAUUGAAAAUGAGGUAUGCUCAAUGUUAAAUAAAUAAAAUCACAU